UGGGGAAUAUUGCACAAUGGGCGCAAGCCUGAUGCAGCCAUGCCGCGUGUAUGAAGAAGGCCUUCGGGUUGUAAAGUACUUUCAGCGGGGAUGAAGGGAGUAAAGUUAAUACCUUUGCUCAUUGACGUUACCCGCAGAAGAAGCACCGGCUAACUCCGUGCCAGCAGCCGCGGUAAUACGGAGGGUGCAAGCGUUAAUCGGAAUUACUGGGCGUAAAGCGCACGCAGGCGGUCUGUUAAGUCAGAUGUGAAAUCCCCGGGCUCAACCUGGGAACUGCAUCUGAUACUGGCAAGCUUGAGUCUCGUAGAGGGGGGUAGAAUUCCAGGUGUAGCGGUGAAAUGCGUAGAGAUCUGGAGGAAUACCGGUGGCGAAGGCGGCCCCCUGGACGAAGACUGACGCUCAGGUGCGAAAGCGUGGGGAGCAAACA
rnacentral:rRNA from 1 species